rnacentral:ncRNA from 17 species
CUCUUAUCAAGAGCAGGCAGAGGGACUUGGCCCGAUGAUGCCCAGCAACCGACCGUAAUUCCAUCGUGAGAUGGGGCGCAAUCCUUGCGCCGGAGAAUUCCUCCAUAAGGCACGGUGCUAAUUCCAGCAGAAAGCUUGGCUUUCUGGCAGAUAAGAG